GGGGGUGCAAGCGUUAUUCGGAAUCACUGGGCGUAAAGAGCGCGUAGGCGGUUUCUUAAGUCAGAUGUGAAAGCCCGGGGCUUAACCCCGGAAGUGCAUUUGAAACGGAGGGACUUGAGUAUGGGAGAGGGAAGUGGAAUUCCUGGUGUAGCGGUGAAAUGCGUAGAUAUCAGGAGGAACACCGGUGGCGAUGGCGACUUCCUGGACCAAUACUGACGCUGAGGCGCGAAGGCGUGGGGAGCAAACAGGAUUAGAUACCAUGGUAGUCCACGCAGUAAACGUUGAACACUAGGUGUAGCGGGUAUUGACCCCUGCUGUGCCGCAGCUAACGCAUUAAGUGUUCCGCCUGGGGAGUACGCCGCAAGGCUA
rnacentral:rRNA from 1 species